rnacentral:lncRNA from 1 species
UACCUGAAGAGAUCCAGAACGGGUCGAGACAUGUGUCGUA